GGUGUUCUUCAGGAGAAAGACAUGCCAGUCUGCUUCUGUAAAGAUGACAGCCUUGGAAACUCUAUGGAACUGCCCUGUCCUAUAGGGUCGCUGAGUCUGAACUGACUUGUCAGAAAUGGGCUUGGUGCUAGUUGCUGUUUGGUGCUAGUUGCUGAGGCUACAAAGAUGAGUAAGCUAUAGCCCUGCCCCUGGGAAAUCAAAAACUCGUGGGAGAUACUUGUAGCUUGUCUCAAAAAAGAGAGCUUAUAAAUUUCUUCCACUAUAUUGCCUCAUUCGAACCUAUGAGGUGGAAGUCUUGUUUUCAUGUCACGCACCAGGAAGCUGAGUCCAAUAGGUUAAGUUAUUGUAAUCGUCAACGUGUUAUUACUUGCUCAAUAUCUGUUGACCCUAUUAAACAAGAGGUGGGACUAUGGCAGUCUUUUCCACUGGGCAUCUCCAAUGCCUAGCACAGUACCUGGAACAUAAUAGAUGCUCAAUGCAUAUGUGAUGGAUUAACAAAUACUAGAUCACAGAUAAGCAUUAGUAGCACCAAGUUCUUAGCCUCCUCACCCUUCAAGCAAAUGUUUUUUCAUUACACCUUGCUGCCUCUUUAAUUAUACCUGUUUACUAUUAACAGAUUCGAUGCCUAAGGUCUGGGAAAAAAAAUGAAGCACUGCUCAAUUUUUUAAAUGGGGGAGAAAUAGCCUUUGGAAAGUAGAUUUGCAAGACCUCGCAAAUAUACCAGGAUACAGCCCUCAGGACUCAGACACUUCAAAACUCAACUGCGAAAGCAUUCUUUUUUUUAACGAAGGAACAGCAAAGUCAUAUGUGUCAAGCGCUCCCACUGUUUAACGGUUUGGAAUAAUUUUGAACUGGAUGUUAGAAGUGAUGGAAGCAAGUUUGAAGGUCCAACGGUACUUUGUGGGUAUGUGUUACCAGCAAUCUCUAUGGGCAGGGGUGAGAGUGAAUCCACUUGGGAAGAAAGGCUAAAGACGUCUCUUGCAGAGAGGCAAAGAAAAGCCAGCGUUUCAAGAAAGGCCUUCCUGAGGAACAAGGGCUAUGAGGUCCUACAGCCUGCCAUAACCAAGGUGCCAAGACUUGGGGCCAGGAGUAAAUACCAUAAUCCUGGUUGAUGAAGAGCAACCUGUCAUUUACCCAGCUUUGUGAUAGCCACCAAAUAGAUUUCAGGAUGAAAGGUCAGACUUGUUUUUCCUCCCCCGCAGCGGGGAGAGAAACUUGAUCAAAAAGAAGGAAAAUGGAAGUAGCCGGAAUCAAUUAUUUUGACAUUUGAAAUAACUACGAUGGCAAUAUGAAAUAGUCAUUAAAUGAUUAUUAAGAGGGUGUCGCCAGGCUCAUUUUCAACCACCACACCUGACUCCAUAGUCACCGACUUCAGGCUUCUCUUGAGAUAACUCUGAGAAUUCAACACAGUGAUUUCCAAAGUGAGGGGCCCGUGAAAAUCUGCUGGAGUGUAGAAACAAUGUAUCAAAGAGUUGAAUCUCAUCAGCCCCCAAGCACUAACAAAUGUUGGAGGUUGGAGUCCACCCAGAGGCACCUCAGAAGAAAGACCUGGCUAUCUAUGUCUGAAAAGUCAGCAACUGAAACCCUAUGGAGAAGAGCUCUGCUCUUGACACGUAUGAGGUCACCACCAGUAGACGUCAACUCCACAACAACUGGGUUUUUUUAGUGGCAUCCUCAGGCCAUUUUCUUACCUCCCUAUCUAAUUUUGCCAUGUUUCUGUGCUGGGGGGCUGGUAAAACAGCAGGAUCAGAAAAGCAGCUUCCCUCAGUCCCUGCAGGGCAAUUCUCCAUUCCCUGGCUCUGGCCUGAGGUCUCAUCCUGGGUGCCCUGAGUCUUCCAGCCUCCUGUUGACAUGGAGGGGAUUUCAGACAGUUGCAGGCUGGGAGGAGCUGACCUUUCUGCUCUCCUCUGCCAGACCCCGCGGAAACUCCCCCUGUCCCCACCUACCUUCCUAGUCCCUGUGAAGUGGAAACUCUAGAUGUAGGUUUCGGAGUUUCUGCUGGGGGAAUUUCUAGGAUCCCUGUGAAUUUUCCUGAGGUUUCGUACCCCUUUGAAAGACACAAGUCCCUAGAGCAUCUAAAAUCAUAUUCGUAAUCUCUGUUAUUUGGAUAAUUUCAAGGUUUUCACACCACUUGGCUACAUACAUCACCUCAUUCGGACAGUCAUUUAUUGUUCUUUCGCAACAGGCACAGUUCCUGGUUCGCACUUUAUAUGACUGUAAGCGAGAAGGGCCACUCUCACUUUGAUGCAAGCUCCAUUCCACCGUCGGGAUUUUUUCUCUCUCAUAACUUUCUGGUCCCCCACUCCUAGCAGGCCGAUUAGAAAUUGCGUCACCCCUCCCUUUUCCCCACUGCUCUGUGACCGACCGCGUGGAAAGCUUGGUCGGCGUGAGCCUGCCCGCCUCCCGGUGGGGGCAGCUGCCUUCGUUCUGACCCAUACUUAGGCCCUGGGGGAGGGGUUGAGGGAAAGGGGUGGAGCUGGGGUGGGAAGAAGAAACAGAAUUGCUUUUCCUUCCCUCUUUCAACUUCCAAUUUUAGAGCGACUAGAGCAAGUCUUCAGCUCUAAGGGGGUGGGGGCACCGCUUCAGCUGGUGAAUCCAGAACGCCAGGAGAACCAGGACUGGGACUUUCCAGCCCCACCUGCACCCCCAGGACUGAGGCCAGUUAGGAGAAAGGGGAGAAGAGUAGCCCACCAGGGCAGCCGAAGUCAGUCCUAGGAAAAGACAGAAGAAAGGGAGAGAGGUGGAAGAACAGACAAUGUAAGAGGAAGAAAAAGGGAAAGAAGAGGAUAAGAAAACACUCUUUCACCUGUUUCUUACUUUUGAAGAAAAAUGGACUAAUCUGCUGUUCGAGUGGUAGGUGAGCUACUGAUACGCCCAGAUUUUACCGCCAAAAUGAGGCAGUUAUUCCGAUGGUUCUACAGCAAAAAGUUUCAGUACUGAAGAAAGAGUCAUUUGUUGGCCACAUUUAAACCACCAAACCCAAACCCACUGCCGUCAAAUCGAUUCCGACUCAUAGCAACCCUAUAGGACAGAGUAGAACUGCCCUAUAGAGUUUCCAAGGAGCGCCUGGAGAAUUUGAACUGCCGAUCUCUUGGUUAGCAGCUGUAGCUCUUAGCCACUAGGCCACCAGGGUUUCCUGGCCACCUUUACCCACGUUUAUUCACAGCUCCUCAAUCAAAAAGAAUAAACCAGACUUAGCAACAUACCCGUUGCCCUCAGGUCGGUUCCUACUCACUGUGACUCUGUAGGGCAGAGUAGAACUGCCCCAUAGGGUUUUCAAGGAGCAGCUGGUGGAUUCGAACUGUUGACCUUUCAGUUAGGAGCAGAGCUCUUAACCACUACACCACCAGGGCUCCACUGUGCCAGUAGGGCUAUGUAUAUAUAUACACACAUAUAAAUAUAAAAUAUUUAUUUCAUAUCGUGAAAUACAGAUUUCAUAUCUGGUUGAUGUUUUGACUCGAUUUUCUAGGGCUCUUUUGCUUGACUGGAGCCUCGGUGGCGCAAUGGUUACGAGCUCAGCAGUUGGAAUUUAUCGGCCGCUCCUUGCAAGCCCUAUGGGGCAGUUCUACUCUGUCCUAUAGGGUCGCUGUGAAUUGGAAUCGACUAGACAGCAAAGAAUUUGUUUGUUUUGUUUUUCCCCUAUGUUGGUGUAGAAACUGUUGUGGUUAAGAGCUCGGCUGCUAACCAAAAGGUCAGCAGUUCAAAUCUACCAGCUGCUCCUUGGAACUUAUGGGGAAGUUAUACUCUGUCCUGCAGGAUCACUGUGAGUUGGAACUGACCUGAAGGCAAUGGGUAUGUUGGUAAGUUUGGUUUAUUCUUUUUGCAUAAAUCCUGGCAGGAAUGUGUAGAUAAUAUUUAUCUUUUUUUUACUGCAAUGGUGAUAUGUUCAGUUAAGGAAAUACAGGGAAUGUAGAAAAAGUACAAAAAAUAAAAUAAAAGGCUCAACCCUCAGAGAGAAUAGCUUCUCCACUCCGCUCCACUCCACUCCAUUCCGUCUUCUAUACGUUCAUCCUGCUGUCCCUGUCCUUGUCCUUUUAACUAGGGAUGGGGGUGUUCAUUCUAGGACUUUGCAUCCUUCUUUUUAUUUAACAUUAUGAUGUUGUUAUCGUUAGCUUCCAUAGAGCUACCCCCGACUCAUGGCAACCCCAUACACAGUGGAAGGGAAUGGAAAUGCUGCUUGUUCCCGCUCCAUCCUCAUGACUGGUUGCAGACCGGACUAUUGUGGCCCGUGGGGCUUUUAUUGGCUGAUUUUCAGAAGUAGAUUGCCAGGCCUUUUCUAGUCUGUCUUAGCCUGGAAGCUCCGCUGAAAGUUGUUCAGCAUCUUAUUGUUAGGUGCCGUCGAGUCAGUUCGGACUCAUAGUUAAACACUACGCACAACAGAACGAAACACUGCCCAGUCUUGUGCUAUCCUUACAAUUGUUGUUAUGCUUGAGGCCAUUGUUGCAGCCACUGUGUCAAUCCAUCUCUUCGAGGAUCUUUUUCUUUUUUGCUGACCCUCUACUAAGCAUGAGGUCCUUAUCCAGGGAUGGUUCCUCCUAAUAACAUGUCCAAAGUACAUGAGAUGAAGUCUCACCAUCCCUACUUCUAAGGAGCAUUCUGGCUGUACUUCUUCCAAGACAGAUUUGUUCAUUCUUCUGGCAGUCCGUGGUAUAUUCAGUAUUCCUCACCAACACCACAAUUCAAAGGUGUCAAUUCUUCGGUCUUCUUUAUUUAUCAUCCCAGCUUUCACAUGCAUAUGAGGUGAUUGAAAACACCCUGGCUUGGCUCAGGUACUCCUUAGUCUUCAAGGUGACAUCUUGGCUUUUGAAGAGGUCUUUUGCAGCAGAUUUGCCUAAUGCAAUGUGCGUUUUGAUUUAUUGACUUCUACUUCCAUGGACAUUGAAUGUGGUCUGUGACAGUGCCAAUCUUUUCUCCAUUUAUCAUGAUAUUGCUUAUUGGUCCAGUUGUAAGGAUUUUUGUUCUAUGUUGAGGUGUAGUCCAUAUUGAAGACAUGGUCUUUGAUCUUCAUCAGUAAGUGCUUCAAGUCCUCUUCACUUUCAGCAAGCAAGGUUGUGUUAUCUGCAUAUCGCAGGUUGUUAAUGAGUCUUCCUCCAAUCCUGAUGCCCUGUUCUCUUCAUAUAGUCCAGCUUCUUGGAUUAUUUGCUCAGCAUACAAAUUGAAUAGGUAUGGUGAAAGAAUAUAACCUUGCACACACCUUUCCUGACUUUAAACCAAUCAGUAUCCCCUUUUUCUGUCCGAACAACUGCCUCUUGAUCUAUGUAAAGGUUCCUCAUGAGCACAAUUAAGUGUUGUGGAAUUUCCCUUCUUCACAAUGUUAUCCAUAAUUUGUUAUGAUCCACACAGUCAAAUGACUUUGCAUAGUCAAUAAAACACAGGUAAACAUCUUCCUGAUAUUCUCUGCUUUCAGCCAGGAGCCAUCUGACAUCAGCAAUGACAUCCCUCGUUCCAUGACCUCUCCUGAAUCACGCAAUUCACAACUGACAGAUGGGUGGUAGCUGCGCAUGAGGUGUAUUGGCUGGGAUUCAAACCCAAGUCUCCUGCGUGCAAGAGAGAAGAUAGAAAGUACUUCCUUUUUACACUGUGUCCCUGUUCAAGUGGCCUGCAACAUGGUGAAGUUCCAUGGCCCCAUUUGCAUUAUUCAGACUCUGGAAUAACUGGAUGUGAUCAUUUAAAUGAUGACUGAUGGGCCCUGACCUCCCUACCCAGACGAUAGUGCUGUUUGAACUGGCGGUUAAUCACAGUUUAAAAGUGACUUAUCUGUGAAGUACAAUAUGACUAAUUUAGCAGCUAAGCAGUUUCGUUGUGAUCCUGGUGUCAGUGGAAUUCUUGUCACCUAUCCAACAGUUAAGUCAUAUUGCAUAAUUGUGGGGUGACAUCACUGCGCUCCCAGAUUAUUGGCUGAAGAAAAGGAAAAAAAAAAAAGUUUCCUGGACUGUAAGCCUUUCCGGUAUCUGAAGGAAUGACUUGUCCUGUUACUGCAGUACAGCCAGAGACCAAAGGAAAAAAGCAAACAAACAAACAAAAAACAGUGCUGUGAAGUGGCUUGGUUUUGGUGUGUCAUUGAAAACCCCUGAGUCUGAGCAUGCGGGGUCCUGUGGGAGAUUCCUGAUGGAGCCUAAUUGCGAGGUCUCUUCCCUUUGUGUGAGACUCCACGCUACCAGUCAUUAAGGUGUGGCUCAAAGAGCUGGAGACAAUGGCACUCGGGUGUAAUGAGGGCAUUUAAUGUUUCUGAGAACUUUACAGCCUUCUCUUUGGAUCGAACAGUUUAAAACGCAGCUCACCAUCUGCUAGAUACAUAGACACUGAAGAGAAGGUCAGCUGGGACCCAGUUGAAAACCUUUUAUGGCUGAAAGCCUGGCUUAUUUCCCAGGGAACUGGUAGUCUAAGUUAAUCACCAUGGAAUAUAUAAACUUUAACAUCGUUUAUGUCAUUGUGUAAAACAUCAAGGUUUAAAAUUAUCCACGGAAAUGUCUAGAAACUGGGUGCAAAUUUAUGAUAGUAAUGGCUACAAUGUUUUGUUUACAUGUGCCAGCACUGUUCUAAAGAAAAAUCUAAGCACUUCACAUAUAUUAAUUCAUGGGGUAGGUAAUAUUGUUAUCCCCAAUUUACAGCUGAGGGAAUCAAAGCUCCAAAGUCAAAAAACUGGUAAAGAGUGGAACCAGGAUCUGAACCCAGGUAAUUCAGCUCCGGAGCACAUUGUCUUAGCUGUUGCCCUCCACUGCAUCUUGUACAACAACAACAAAUGCAACUACUAUUUCCAUUUGCCAAAUGUUUUUUGUGUGACAGUCACUGUAUUAUAACCACUGCAUUCUUGCAUCAACUCUGUGAAGUAGAAACUGUGCUAUUAUUAUCCCCAUUUUAUUGAUUAGGAAAGUGAGGCACAAAGAAAAUAAGACACACAUAAGCAAGUCUGCAAGGAUUCAAACCCAGAAAGCCUAGAUCCAGACUCCAUGCUUUGAACCACCACGCUGUUCUGCUUUUCGAUAGCUACCCUUUAUUGUGUACCUACUAUUAUGUAAUCCUCAUAACAACCCUCCAUUGUAUUAUUAUCCCCAAUUUAGAGAUGAGAAAACUGAGGCUCCAAGGAAUGGGGUCAUUUGUCAGCUUCCAAGUGGCAGAGCCAGAAUUCUUCCAAGUCCAUUGGAAUCCACCAUACCACACUAAAACAAACAAACCACCCAACAAACCCAAUGACUUCGAGUAGAUUCCAACUCAUUGCACCCCCUUAUGCUACAUAGUAGAACUGCUCCAUUGGGUUUUCUUUUCCUUUCUUCUGUGGUGCUGCUGGGUAGGUCUGAACCACCAACCUUCAGGUCAGUAGUAGAGCACAAACCACUUGUGCCACCCAAGGGUCUUUUCCAUAUCACACUGCCUCCUCCCCAAAUCCAAAGCUACAAUUCCCAGGCGGGGUGACAGAGGUCUGUCAAGAAAAGGGCUGGUAUCUCAGGAUUCACCCCGUGCUGGAAGUGAUAUCUUGGUCCGGGCCGUCCUUAUCUUCAAAGGGUGGGGCCUGGUGAAGAGAUGCCAGAGGGUUCUGGAAGUCAGCCGUUCACCAAGGGGUGGUGCUUUGAUUGAAGGGCACCCUUUCUCGAGGGCCUCCUCUCCAUUUGUGUAUUCUGGGGGAUUUGCUGAUGUGAUCAGACUCCCCUCUCUCCCCUAAAUUCCCUUUCUCUUUUCAUUCCGCUGUUAUUUCUGAAACUGCGCUCCCCUGCCCUCCUUCGGUUACCACAGCCUGGCACAUGCUCAGUUCUCUCGCUUGUAAGGAUUUUCACCCCACCCCACCGCGCCUCUCCUUUUGAUGCACAUAUUCAAUUCUCUGGAAUGGGGCCACCCAUAAGCUUGACACACAUUUUCAAAGGGCUUUAGAAAUGCAUGUGAUCAGUACAUUUAAUUGUGUUAAAGAAGCAUAUCAACUGCUUGUUACCUGUUAAUUUCACAGUAUGGGUGCCCCACCUCCAAGACUGCAGUAAUUUUUAGAAAUCUGAAAUUACAAUAAAAAACAAAAACAAACUUAAAUCAACACCAAAAAAGAUUGAAAAACAGUUCGACUAUUAUGAAAGUAUUUACACCAGAGCUUUCAAGAAUGAAGAGCGCCUCUAGUGAAUUUAAACUCUUACUCUUUGAAAGGAAAUCAAAUGUAUCCAGUUAAUUCGCUUAAUAUUUAUUUGGGAGGAGAUCGAGAACAAAAAAUACGUGUGACUUGCCCUGCAUGCACCUAAAUACUUAAAAUACAAAAUCAAACAUCAUUAAGAGUGAAACAAAUUGAGACGUAGAGUUGGCCCAAUAAGGAAGCAAGCAAGCAAGCCAGAGGAGAUGAUCCGGACAGCUUUUUGAAGGAGGAGAGACCUGGUUGGAACUGGAAGAACUGGUAGAAUUGUGAUAGGUUGAGAUUAGAAAUAAAAGAGGACAAUCCAUAUAGGAAACUUGUUGUUGGCUACUGUUGGGUCGGGUGUGGACUCAUGGGAACUCCAUGUACGUCAGGAUCCAACCAUUGUGAUUCAUAGGGUUUUCGUUGGCUUAUUUCCAGGGUAGAUCACCAGGCUUUUCUUCCUAGUCUAUCUUAACUAGUGUGAGACAAAAAGAGAAGACGAAGGGACAAAGCCAUGAAUCUUUCUCUAAGAUACACAGCAAUUAAGUAAUGUUCAGAAUCUUCUAUAAAAAUUAAUAGUAAUGGACAGUUAUUCAGCUUUAUACUGAAGAGUAGAAUGUAAUGUAACGGGAAAGUGUGUUUCAUUCCAAAAUAGAGAAAAGGGAAAAUCUUAACAUAUAGAAUUAUAAGCUGGCCAUCUUCCGGACCCAUGAAUCUUCCUUUAAUGAAGAUAAGCAAAGAUUCAGCAUUGUAAACAACUCAACAGCACCCAGAAAGGGUGCUCAUCUAAAACUCACUCUGGUAGAUCUCAGUGGGCAGGGAGUCUACUCCUGGGUCAUCUGACCUUCAGAGUGACCUCAGCUCAAUCACCCCAUCUUCCCUGCUCUGUGUCUAUCCAUAUUCCUGAAGAAUGACAAGGUCCUUUUAUUCAGAGGGGAUGAGUGAUGCAUGGGAGUCUCUCUCCAGUGCUCUUUGUGGUCCUAACCAUUGCCUGCGAAUGACUUUAUUAUAGCAAAGAGUGUCUUAUGAUGAAUGAGUUCAUUCUGGUACUUUGGUCAAUAAGUACCUUGGAAUAUGGUCCAGAGGAGGUCAUUCUAUUUGUUCAUUUGUUCGGACAUUGAAUGAGUGCCUACUGUGGUAGCCAGCCUCCAAGAUGGCCCCCAGUGAUCCUGCCUCCUGGUAUUCAUGCCCUUGUGUAGUACCCUUCCACAUCUAUCAGAGUUGGUCAGGGUAACCAAAAGCAUGUGUCAAAAGCAACCGUAUGUCACCUCAGAUGGUAUGUCUGAGGUAGAUUAUAGAAGGAAUUACGGCUUCUGCUUUGUGCUGUCUCUUGGAUCUCUCUCUCUGGGAGAAGCUAGCUGCCGUGUUUAGGUAUGACACACAGCAGUCUAUGGAGAGGCUCGUGUGGUGAGGAACUGAGACUUCUGUCAACAGUUGUGUGAAUAUGUCAUCUUGGAAGUGGGCUCUCCACACCCAGUCAAGCCUUGGGUGACUGAAGCCCUGACUGACACUUGAUUCACGUCUUAUGAAAGACUGUGAGCUGGAACCCAUCCAUCUAAGCUGCUCUUGGGUUCCUCACACUCAGAACUGAGUGAGAUAAUAAAUUGUUGUUUUAAGCUGUUAUUUUUUGGGAUAAUUUGUUACACGGGAAUACAUAACUAAUACAUCUACCAUUUUUCUGUUUCUGUGCCAGGUACUGGGAAUGAAUAUGGCUUAGAUUUUUCCCUCGAAAAGAUAACAGUCCUCAAAACAAAACAGAUCUCUAAGUACCUACUUACAACAUGAUACAACAUAAGCUACAAGGGAGAUGCCUACCUAAUGCUAUAAGAAGCGGGAGACAAAAGAGUUAAAUCUAUUUGGAGAGAAAAAAGGUCGAAAAAAAUCUUUACAGACAUUUAGAGAUUAAAAAAAAAAACAAAACAAACCUGUUGCCGUUGAGUUGAUUCCAACUUACAGUCAGACCCGAUAGGACAGAGUAGAACUGCCCCAUGGGUUUCUAAGGAGCUGCUGGUGGAUUUGAACUGCUGACCUUUUUGUUAGCAGCUGAACUCUUAAUCACUGCACCACCAGGGCUCCAUUUGGAGAUUAGUCUCUAAGAAAAAUCAGGAGUUUUCCAGGCAAAGAAGAAAGAAUGGCGUAUGUAAAGACCCAGAGGUGAGAGAACCAGGGCAUGUCUUAGGGCAUGUGUUCAAUUCCAUCCAGCUGUGACCUAGAAUUCACAUGGAGGUUCCUAGCCAGGGAAGUUGGGUUUUAGUCUAAGAUAUGGGGAACCACUGGCAGAUUUUUUGUAUGGGACUGACACAAUCCUUUAUGUAUUUUAGACACACAGCUGUUUGUGGACCUGGCAGGGCUGGAGACAGGAAAGUAAAGUAGGAAAAUACAGUGGUUCUUCCCAGCAGCCACUCCUAUUAGAGACUAGUGAGCUUCUGACGUGAUUAUAUCGCUCAUGUUUUUUAUAAUGCUUUCUUAUUAAUGCUUUCAUUAAGAUAGUUUUUAUUUUUGUUUUUUGUAUUGGUUUCUAUCUUUAAGUUUCCAUUUGGAAAUCAUUUCAGACUCACAAAAAGUUUGCAAAAAUAGCACGAGGAAUUCCCAUAUAUUUUUUACCCAGUUUCUUCCAGUGUUAACAUUUUAUAUGAACCAAACCCGUUGCUUUUGGGUCAAUCCGAACUCAUAGUGACCCUAUAGGAGAGAGUAGACUGCCCCAUAGGGUUUCCAAGGAGUGCCUGGUGGAUUCGAACUGCUGACCUUUUGGUUAGGAGCCAUAGCUCUUAACCACUAUGUCACCAGGUUUUCAAUUACAGUACAAUUAGUAAAAUCAGGACAUUAACAUUGAUACAAUACUUUUAGCUAAUCUACUGACCUUUUUCGAAUUACACCAAUUGUCCAGUUAGUGUACUUUUUUCUGGUCCAGGGUCACACCUAGCCAUGACAACUAAUUAUGCUUAGUUGUCAUGUCUCCUUUAAUCUGGGACCAUUUCUCAGUCCUUUGUCUUUUGUGACCUUGACACUGUUAAAGAGUAAUGAACAAAAAACAAACCUGUUGCUGUGGAGGCAAUUCCGGCUCAUAGUGACCCUAUAGGACAGAAUAGAACUGCCCCACAGGGUUUCCAAGGAACUACUGUUGGAUUCCAACUGCCGACUUUUUGAUUAGCAGGCAAGCUCUUAGCCACUGUGCCACCAGGGCUCCAUUAUGGAGUAACCAAACCAAAUCAAAUCAAACCAAACUUGUUGCUGGCGAUUUUGACUCAGAGUAGAACUGCCCCAUAGGGUUUCCAAGGAGUGACUGGUGGAUUCGAACUGACGACCUUUUGGUUAGCAGCCAAGUUCUUAAACACUGCACCACCAGGGGUCGCCAUUAAAGAGUACUACCCAGUUAUUUUGUAAAAUGUUCAUCAACUUCAGUUUAGUUUAUCAAUGUCUCCUACGAUUACUCUCAAGUUGUGCGUUUGGGGCAAGAAUGGUCCUGGAAUGAUGUUAUGCCCUCAGUGGGCCCUGUUGGAAGUUACAUGAAUUGGAGUGUCUCAGUACUGCCGAUGUUCAUUUUGAUAAGUUGGUUAAGGUCAUGUCCACCAAGUUUUCCAGCUUUGAGUUACCAUUAUUCCUUUUGUAAUGAGUGAAUAUCUUGUGAGAACAUACUUUGAGGCUGUGUGAAUUUCCUGUCUCUCGUCAAACCUUCGCCCACUGAUUUUAAGAUCCAUUAAUGAUUUUUGCCUGAAAUACUUAUUACUGUGGUGUUUGCCAAAUGGUAAAAACCACCCUCAAUGAGAUGGAUUGACACAGUGGCUGCCAUAAUGGUCCCAAGCACAGCAACAAUUGUGAGGAUGGCACAGGACUGAGCAGGGCUUUGUUCUGUUGUGCGUAGGGUUGCUAUGAGUUGGAACUGACUCGACGGCACCUAACAAGAACAACAACAAAAAUCAAGAGAUUUAUGAUUAUGUUAUGUGAUAGAUUCAAAAUAUGUUCUCAAAUCCUUCGAUAUGCCAAUCUUUAAAACAAAUGGAGCCUAGUUCCCUUCCCCUUGCGUGUGGGCUGUACUUAGUUACUCUUUUAUAACAAAUAGAAUAUGGCAGAAGUGAAAGUUUAUGACUUGUGAGACAAGGUCAUGCACAGCACCCUGGUUUCCUUCUUGCUCUCUCUUGGGUCACUCGCUUGAUCUGAGGAAGUUGGCUGCCAUGUCAUGAGGAUGCUCAAGCAGCCCCAUGAAGAGGUCCUUGUGGAGGGGAAAGGAGGCCUUCUGCAACAGCCAGCACUCACUUGCAGGGCAUGUGAGUGAUCCACCUUAGAAGUGAAUCUUCCAGUCCCAGGUAAACUUUCCG